rnacentral:rRNA from 1 species
UACGGAGGAUCCAAGCGUUAUCCGGAUUUAUUGGGUUUAAAGGGUGCGUAGGCGGCUUAUUAAGUCAGAGGUGAAAGACGGUGGCUCAACCAUCGCAGUGCCUUUGAUACUGAUGAGCUUGAAUGAACCUGAGGUAGGCGGAAUGUGACAAGUAGCGGUGAAAUGCAUAGAUAUGUCACAGAACACCAAUUGCGAAGGCAGCUUACUAAAGUUUAAUUGACGCUGAGGCACGAAAGCGUGGGGAGCAAACGGG